GCACAGUAGAACUGUCUUUUCUAAGCCUUCGC
rnacentral:piRNA from 1 species